UUUUUUCUUUCUACAAAUGUAUUUAUACUGUACUACAAAUUUAUAAUUCUUGGUUCUGAAACAUGAAGAAACAAAUUUACCAAAAUAUUCAGAGAAACUGUCAACUUUCUCCUUGUAAUUAAUUGAUUAAAUGUCAAAGCUGGUUGAACAUUCCCUACUCCCAUUCCCUGGGCUACACGUUGGAGAGAAAGUAGCUUAAAAUAGGUUGGAAAUACCACCACUAGCUAGACAGUAAGAAGGAGCUCUUGCUUUAGUGUUCGACUAAAAGUAUGAUAAGAGCAGGAGAUGGCACUGAGUGAAUCUCUGUGCUGGAAAAAUGUUUUUUACCCUUUUAUUUUAAAUUUGUAUUUCUAACAGUUUGGUGUUCC